UACGAAGGGAGCUAGCGGUGUUCGGAAUCACUGGGCGUAAAGCGCACGUAGGCGGACUUGUCAGUCAGGGGUGAAAUCCCGGGGCUCAACCCCGGCACUGCUUUUGAUACAGCAGAUCUUGAGUCCGGGAGAGGUGGGUGGAAUUCCGAGUGUAGAGGUGAAAUUCGUAGAUAUUCGGAGGAACACCGGUGGCGAAGGCGGCUCACUGGUCCGAGACUGACGCUGAGAUGCGAAAGCGUGGGGAGCAAACAGG
rnacentral:rRNA from 1 species